UUCCAGACUCCUACGGGAGGCAGCAGUGAGGAAUAUUGGUCAAUGGCCGGAAGGCUGAACCAGCCAAGCCGCGUGAGGGAGGAAGGCGCAGAGCGUCGCAGACCUCUUUUGCCGGGGGACAAAAGGCCGGACUCGUCCGGUCCUGAGGGUACCCGGAGAAAAAGCUCCGGCUAACUACGUGCCAGCAGCCGCGGUAAUACGUAGGGAGCGAGCGUUGUCCGGAUUUACUGGGUGUAAAGGGCGUGUAGGCGGAGCUGCAAGUCAGAAGUGAAAUCUCCGGGCUCAACCCGGAAACUGCUUUUGAAGCUGUAGCCCUUGAGUAUCGGAGAGGCAGGCGGAAUUCCUAGUGUAGCGGUGAAAUGCGUAGAUAUUAGGAGGAACACCAGUGGCGAAGGCGGCCUGCUGGACGACAACUGACGCUGAGGCGCGAAAGCGUGGGGAGCAAACAGGAUUAGAUACCCUUGUAC
rnacentral:rRNA from 1 species